rnacentral:rRNA from 1 species
AGUAACGCGUGAGGAACCUGCCUUCCAGAGGGGGACAACAGUUGGAAACGACUGCUAAUACCGCAUGACGCAUUGGUGUCGCAUGGCACUGAUGUCAAAGAUUUAUCGCUGGAAGAUGGCCUCGCGUCUGAUUAGCUGGUUGGUGAGGUAACGGCCCACCAAGGCGACGAUCGGUAGCCGGACUGAGAGGUUGGCCGGCCACAUUGGGACUGAGAUACGGCCCAGACUCCUACGGGAGGCAGCAG